AACCUGGUUGAUCCUGCCAGUAGUCAUAUGCUUGUCUCAAAGACUAAGCCAUGCACGUCUAAGUACAAACUAAAUGAUGGUGAAACUGCAAAUGGCUCAUUACAACGGUUAUGAUGUACCCGGGAGUUCCGAUGGAUAUUUCCAGUAACACUAGAACAAAUACAUGCUCCUGCGUUUAUUAGUUUCGCACAGUCCGUCGCUGAGUCAUGGUAAACAGUUGAUCGACUCGACGUCCCGGAACAGUUUCCGCCCCAUCAGCUUCGAUGGUUGGGUAUUGGCCUACCAUUGCAACAACGGGUAACGAGGAAUUAGGGUUUGAUUUCGGAGAGGGAGCCUGAGAAACGGCUACCACAUCUACGGAUGGCAGCAGGCGCGCAAAUUACCCAAUGCAGACACUGUGAGGUAGUGACGAGAAAUA
rnacentral:rRNA from 1 species